AGUCCUUCGCCGUCCCUCGCCGUCCUUCGCCAUCGCACGCCACCGCACCCCAUCUCUCGAAAUCUGCAGACAUCUUGAUUUUUCCCACGCUGUCUGUCAGGUCUCCGCCGCCACUCGACGCCAGGGCGCCGGGUGAGUCCACAGCAGGGCGCAUGGUCGGCUCCACUCUCACCAUCGGGGGAAACUGAGGCCCCGGGGAAGGCGGCCAGAGAGGUCAGGCCCUGUCCUUGGUGCAGUGUCUCGUCCUCUUUGCCGGAGUGAGCCCCCCAGGAUUCGCGUGUCCUCGGGAAAGACACUGGCAGGCCUUGUGGGCUGUGCUGCACCUCGGACGGCUUCGCACCAGCCAGCGCCCUCUCUCUCCUGCAGCACUCUGAUCUGCACCCCCUGAGGGGCUUCCACUGUCCGCGGGGUGAGAAUGCCCCUGGGAGUGUCACAUGACUGCCGCCCCAUGUGUGUGAGAGGCGUCCUCUGGGAGAGCAUGGAUCCUGAGGUCCCAGGUAAGUGGGGUCCUGCUCAGUCCUCUAGAGCUCAAGUUCUCUGCAGGUUGUGAGGCCAGAGGUGGUUGGGUGCUGAGGAGUGGGGAGUGAGGACACCGGUGAAGGCUGCUUCCCUUUGCUCCUGUCUUUGCUCCUUCAGCAGGCAGGGACAGGCCUGGGCCCUCUUCUGCCUUCGUGGGGCUGCUGCCAAGAAGGUGCUCCCUGAGCUUGAUUGGGGCUCUGAGAGUCCCUGACAAAGACCCUGUCAUGUUGAGAGGAAAA
rnacentral:lncRNA from 1 species